GUGCCAGCCGCCGCGGUAAGACAGAGGCCUCGAGCGUUAGGCGGAAUCACUGGGCUUAAAGCGUGUGUAGGUGGAUUCUUAAGUGCUUUGUGAAAUCCCACGGCUUAACCGUGGAACUGCUUGGCAUACUGGGAAUCUUGAGCUAUCUAGGGGCAACUGGAACAGACGGUGGAGCGGUGAAAUGCGUAGAUAUCGUCUGGAACGCCAAUGGUGAAGACAGGUUGCUGGGGAUAUGCUGACACUGAGACACGAAAGCCAGGGGAGCAAACGGGAUUAGAAACCCCUGUAGUCC
rnacentral:rRNA from 1 species